rnacentral:rRNA from 1 species
GAACGCUGGCGGCGUGCUUAACACAUGCAAGUCGAACGGAAAGGCCCUGCUUUUGUGGGGUGCUCGAGUGGCGAACGGGUGAGUAACACGUGAGUAACCUGCCCUUGACUUUGGGAUAACUUCAGGAAACUGGGGCUAAUACCGGAUAGGAGCUCCUGCUGCAUGGUGGGGGUUGGAAAGUUUCGGCGGUUGGGGAUGGACUCGCGGCUUAUCAGCUUGUUGGUGGGGUAGUGGCUUACCAAGGCUUUGACGGGUAGCCGGCCUGAGAGGGUGACCGGCCACAUUGGGACUGAGAUACGGCCCAGACUCCUACGGGAGGCAGCAGUGGGGAAUAUUGCACAAUGGGCGGAAGCCUGAUGCAGCAACGCCGCGUGCGGGAUGACGGCCUUCGGGUUGUAAGCCGCUUUCGCCUGUGACGAAGCGUGAGUGACGGUAAUGGGUAAAGAAGCACCGGCUAACUACGUGCCAGCAGCCGCGGUGAUACGUAGGGUGCGAGCGUUGUCCGGAUUUAUUGGGCGUAAAGGGCUCGUAGGUGGUUGAUCGCGUCGGAAGUGUAAUCUUGGGGCUUAACCCUGAGCGUGCUUUCGAUACGGGUUGACUUGAGGAAGGUAGGGGAGAAUGGAAUUCCUGGUGGAGCGGUGGAAUGCGCAGAUAUCAGGAGGAACACCAGUGGCGAAGGCGGUUCUCUGGGCCUUUCCUGACGCUGAGGAGCGAAAGCGUGGGGAGCGAACAGGCUUAGAUACCCUGGUAGUCCACGCUGUAAACGGUGGGUACUAGGUGUGGGGUCCAUUCCACGGGUUCCGUGCCGUAGCUAACGCUUUAAGUACCCCGCCUGGGGAGUACGGCCGCAAGGCUAAAACUCAAAGGAAUUGACGGGGCCCCGCACAAGCGGCGGAGCAUGCGGAUUAAUUCGAUGCAACGCGUAGAACCUUACCUGGGUUUGACAUGGAUCGGGAGUGCUCAGAGAUGGGUGUGCCUCUUUUGGGGUCGGUUCACAGGUGGUGCAUGGCUGUCGUCAGCUCGUGUCGUGAGAUGUUGGGUUAAGUCCCGCAACGAGCGCAACCCUUGUUCACUGUUGCCAGCACGUUAUGGUGGGGACUCAGUGGAGACCGCCGGGGUCAACUCGGAGGAAGGUGGGGAUGACGUCAAGUCAUCAUGCCCCUUAUGUCCAGGGCUUCACGCAUGCUACAAUGGCUGGUACAGAGAGUGGCGAGCCUGUGAGGGUGAGCGAAUCUCGGAAAGCCGGUCUCAGUUCGGAUUGGGGUCUGCAACUCGACCUCAUGAAGUCGGAGUCGCUAGUAAUCGCAGAUCAGCAACGCUGCGGUGAAUACGUUCCCGGGGCUUGUACACACCGCCCGUCAAGUCAUGAAAGUUGGUAACACCCGAAGCCGGUGGCCUAACCGUUGUGGGGGAGCCGUCGAAGGUGGGACUGGUGAUUAGG